rnacentral:lncRNA from 1 species
UCUGCUUGUGCUUUGUAAAGGGUGUCUGUGUUUGGAGUGAGAGAGACUUCCUUCCCUUUGUAAACAAAUACAGGUCAGCCAGGGAGAUUUAAGAAUGUGGUAACUGGGUUAGCCUUGCCCAAGCUGGGCUAGGGAGUGUCUUGGCUGUGGAGGAACUGAGGUUUUCUGGGAUGACUCUGAGUUGCAUCCAACAGGGUUGAGAUGAAGACUCAAGUGGAGAAUCAGAACUCUGGAGCGUUACAAUCAUAGUAGGGAAGACAGAUGUGUGCAGGAAACCCAACGAUCAAGGCAAGGAGAGAAGUUGGAAGCCAGAAGUAAAGUUGGUAAUAAAAGAGUCAGAAGCAAAAUGAGAGGAGAAAAGCGGGGCAGCAUCAAACCCCUCCCACUGGGGCAACCUGCUGAGCAUCUCCCUGGCCUUGGCCCCUGGCCAUACCACACAGUGUCCAAUGAGUCACUGAUCCUGAAGAACAAGAGAAGACUGACCACAGACCCCAAAAGGAAGCAGGAAUACAACCUUCGAAGUUGGUGGCCAACAAGAGGUCAGAGGUUGACAAGCAUCCACACAGCUCUAAGACUAGCAUCAUGUGGCUACCCAGGACCUGGGAGCAGUGCUGCAGAGCAGGAGCAGGAAAGGGACCAGCUGUUCCCAUAGAAUUCCAUGUCACAAGUCUGGGAGCCAG